rnacentral:rRNA from 1 species
CCUACGGGUGGCAGCAGUGAGGAAUAUUGGUCAAUGGACGAGAGUCUGAACCAGCCAUGCCGCGUGAAGGAUGACUGCCCUAUGGGUUGUAAACUUCUUUUAUAUGGGACUAAAAUGUUCCACGUGUGGGAUUUUGUAUGUACCUUAUAAAUAAGGAUCGGCUAAACCCGUGCCGGCACCGGCGGUAAUACGGAGGAUCCGACCGUUAUCCGGAUUUAUGGGGUUUAAAGGUACGGUAGGUGGAUGGUUAAGUCAGGUGUGAAAGUUUGCGGCUCAACCGUAAAAGUGCAGUUGAAACUGGCAGGCUGGAAUGCGGUUGCGGUGGGAGGAAUGCGUGGUGUAGCGGUGAAAUGCAUAGAUAUCACGAAGAACUCCGAUUGCGAAGGCAGUUCACUGGAGUGCAACUGACGCUGAGGCUCGAAAGUGUGGGUAUCGAACAGGAUUAGAUACCCGGGUAGUC